UACGUAGGGUGCAAGCGUUGUCCGGAAUUAUUGGGCGUAAAGAGCUCGUAGGUGGUUUGUUACGUCUGCUGUGAAAUCCUAGGGCUUAACCCUGGGCUUGCAGUGGAUACGGGCAGACUAGAGGUCGGUAGGGGAGAAUGGAAUUCCUGGUGUAGCGGUGAAAUGCGUUGAUAUCAGGAGGAACACCCAUGGCGAAGGCAGGCAAACUGGUCAUCAACUGACGCUGAGGCGCGAAAGC
rnacentral:rRNA from 1 species